rnacentral:rRNA from 1 species
AUCCUGGCUCAGAUUGAACGCUGGCGGCAGGCCUAACACAUGCAAGUCGAGCGGAUGAAGUAGCUUGCUACUGAUUCAGCGGCGGACGGGUGAGUAAUGCCUAGGAAUCUGCCUGGUAGUGGGGGACAACGUUUCGAAAGGAACGCUAAUACCGCAUACGUCCUACGGGAGAAAGUGGGGGACCCUCGGGCCUCACGCUAUCAGAUGAGCCUAGGUCGGAUUAGCUAGUUGGUGGGGUAAUGGCUCACCAAGGCGACGAUCCGUAACUGGUCUGAGAGGAUGAUCAGUCACACUGGAACUGAGACACGGUCCAGACUCCUACGGGAGGCAGCAGUGAGGAAUAUUGGACAAUGGGCGAAAGCCUGAUCCAGCCAUGCCGCGUGUGUGAAGAAGGUCUUCGGAUUGUAAAGCACUUUAAGUUGGGAGGAAGGGUCGUAACCUAAUACGUUGCGAUUUUGACGUUACCAACAGAAUAAGCACCGGCUAACUUCGUG